UGGGGAAUAUUGCACAAUGGACGGAAGUUUGAUGCAGCGACGCCGCGUGGAGGGUGUAGGCCUUCGGGUUGUGAACUCCUUUUUCUCGCGAAAAAGGCACAGUUUUGGCUGUGUUGAUGGUAGUGGGGGAAGAAGCGCCGGCUAACUACGUGCCAGCAGCCGCGGUAAUACGUAGGGCGCGAGCGUUGUCCGGAUUUAUUGGGCGUAAAGAGCUCGUAGGUGGUUCGUCGCGUCUGUCGUGAAAGCCAGCAGCUUAACUGUUGGUCUGCGGUGGGUACGGGCGGGCUUGAGUGCGGUAGGGGUGACUGGAAUUCCUGGUGUAGCGGUGGAAUGCGCAGAUAUCAGGAGGAACACAGAUGGCGAAGGCAGGUCACUGGGCCGUUACUGACACUGAGGAGCGAAAGCGUGGGGAGCGAACAGG
rnacentral:rRNA from 1 species